rnacentral:rRNA from 1 species
AUUAGUGGCGAACGGGUGAGUAAUACGUGGGUAACCUACCUUUAACUCUGGGAUAAGCCUGGGAAACUGGGUCUAAUACCGGAUACGACCAAUCUCCGCAUGGGGUGUUGGUGGAAAGCGUUAUGUAGUGGUUAUAGAUGGGCUCACGGCCUAUCAGCUUGUUGGUGAGGUAACGGCUCACCAAGGCGACGACGGGUAGCCGGCCUGAGAGGGUGACCGGCCACACUGGGACUGAGACACGGCCCAG